UGUCAUUUAGAAGCUUGCUAAAAAUGUAGCAAGAGGCCAGGAUUAUUUUUAGUUGGAAAAGCUUCAUUUACUUCUCACAAGCUCUGUGGCCUGUUGUGCUUCAAUUUCGUCAUCUUCAAAACCAGGAAGAGCUAUAUUCAUCUUAUCUCACAAAGCUGAUUAACAUAAAUGAAGGAGCCUUGGAAAAUGGAAAGCAUUAUACAAAUAAACAUAGUCUCACUCUUUUUCCCAGGCUGGU
rnacentral:lncRNA from 1 species